AAAGUAUUUCCUGCCCUAUGGUUUUAUUUAAAUGGCUGCAGUAUUUUGACUGUGCAAAGGUAGCAUAGUAAUUAGUUUCUUAAUUAGGAACUUGUAUGAAUGGAUGAAUGAGAUAUAGGUUUUAUUUAUUUAAAAGUUAAAAUUUUAAUUUUAAGUAAAAAUGCUUAAGAUUUUUCUUGGGACGAUAAGACCCUAUAGAACUUUAUAUUUGCUUAAUAAAUUGUUUUUAAUUUUUAUAUAUAAUUUUUUAUUUAAAUGUUUUGCUGGGGUGGUUAAUAAAUUUUAACUUUAUUUUUUUAUUUCAUUGUUAGUUGUUUUUAUUGAUCCUAAUGGAUUAUAAGAAUAAGUUACCUUAGGGAUAACAGCGUAAUUUUAGUGGGGAGUUCAUAUCUAUACUGAUUUUGCGACCUCGAUGUUGAAUUAAGAAAAAACUAAGAAGCAGAAUUCUUAGAUUUAAGUCUGUUCGA
rnacentral:rRNA from 1 species